CGUAGGGUGCGAGCGUUGUCCGGAAUUAUUGGGCGUAAAGGGCUCGUAGGCGGUUUGUCGCGUCGGGAGUGAAAACACCGGGCUUAACUCGGUGCUUGCUUUCGAUACGGGCAGACUAGAGGUAUGCAGGGGAGAACGGAAUUCCUGGUGUAGCGGUGAAAUGCGCAGAUAUCAGGAGGAACACCGGUGGCGAAGGCGGUUCUCUGGGCAUGACCUGACGCUGAGGAGCGAAAGUGUGGGGAGCGAACAGGAUUAGAUACCCUGGUAGUCCACACCGUAAACGUUGGGCGCUAGGUGUGGGAUCCAUUCCACGGGUUCCGUGCCGCAGCUAACGCAUUAAGCGCCCCGCCUGGGGAGUACGGCCGCAAGGCUA
rnacentral:rRNA from 1 species